UGGGUGGGUUGGAAAAGCUAUCUGGAAUCAUCUCAAACAGGCUUUAUCCCUAAGGAAUGGCAGAUGGAAUAAGUAUGACCAUGUUAUCCUACAUUUGCAGAGGAUGUUGUCUUGUCAAACAAAAGAUAACCUGCCAAUGUUCCCUUGGCAUUCAUCAUGUGCUCUCCUCUUGCAAGUUCAUGCAUCCUAGUUGUUCACCCUUGGCAAUAGCAGCCAAACUUUCUGAGCAGAAAUGUCUGAAGUCCUGUUGCUCUAGGGUAGUGGGAGUGCACCCUGGGGUUACAGGUGUCAUUCCAUUUCCAGAUUUUCAGAUUUAGCAUGGAGAAUCAGUCAUGUGGACUUAUCCUCGACAAUGAAUGCCUCCGAGUCAUGUGGAUGCAAGGAAGUGAAGGCAGAGGAAUUGCGUGGAGAGAUGCCAUAGAGAAAUAAACUUUUGAUAUCCAUUCACCGCAGAUCCCAGGGCUGGCUUGUUGGGGAGAGAUGAGCACUUGCAUGGUAGUCAUCUUUACUAUGGGACUAAAAGUCUCAUCAUAGUCAAUCCAGUAAGUGAGAAACUAUAAGGAACAAAUUGUGCUCAUUCUACUGAUCCUGUGGUUUUUUGUCCCUUUCUAUCAAUGUCCUUCCUAUUUUUUUAAUUAAAAAAUUAAUCAAAGGUGACCUGAUUAAAUACUGAAAAAUCAGUCAGUAUUCAAAUAUUUGCAACUAAACCAAGUUCCUUCAUGACUAAUUCUUUGUGAUUUGUAAAAGUUCUAAAGAAGCAAUUUGUGAAGAUGUAACCAAAUUUCUUCAUGUUUGGGUUGCCUAGAGCUUAUAUUUCCAUCUAAAACAAAUCAGUUAUUAUGGAUGCUAGAACUAAAGGUUGUGUUGUAGCCUAUUUGAUAAGCAUGUGAUAGUUGUAAAGGGUUGGCUGUCAUCUGCUUGUCGCCCCCUAUUUUCCAUAUACUAUAGAUUGUAUGGUGAUAUUUCUCUCCUUCAGGCUGUGGCCUUUUCCA